rnacentral:rRNA from 1 species
UUGAACGCUGGCGGCAUGCUUUACACAUGCAAGUCGAACGGCAGCGGGGGCUUCGGCCUGCCGGCGAGUGGCGAACGGGUGAGUAAUGCAUCGGAACGUACCCAGUCGUGGGGGAUAACUACGCGAAAGCGUAGCUAAUACCGCAUACGCCCUGAGGGGGAAAGCGGGGGACCUUCGGGCCUCGCGCGAUUGGAGCGGCUGAUGUCGGAUUAGCUAGUUGGUGGGGUAAAGGCCUACCAAGGCGACGAUCCGUAGCUGGUCUGAGAGGAUGAUCAGCCACACUGGGACUGAGACACGGCCCAGACUCCUACGGGAGGCAGCAGUGGGGAAUUUUGGACAAUGGGCGCAAGCCUGAUCCAGCAAUGCCGCGUGCAGGAUGAAGGCCUUCGGGUUGUAAACUGCUUUUGUACGGAACGAAAAGACUCCUUCUAAUAAAGGGGGUUCAUGACGGUACCGUAAGAAUAAGCACCGGCUAACUACGU